AGUGAGAUAUUAAGUGUCUGAACCAACAGACAAAAAUGUUUAACCCAGUGGAAUUCAUCCUAGAACUACCACAUCAGUCAUUUCUUUUCCAGCUAUCAUUAUUCAAAAGGUGCCUUCCGAAUGGCAAGGUGAUGAAGUGGCAGAAAACAAUACAGCAUUAAGUAUGCUUAUUUGAAGCGAUCACUGUGGAAACAAACCAUUAUGCAGAAUGUAAACAAACAGAAUAUGUCAGGAAAGCCCAUGAAAUGGAGGAUCAAAGUCUGUGGGUACUGCUGUGGAUUUAGUUUUUCUACAGGGAAAAAGAGACAAUAAUGUUAGUCAGCAUGGCCUAGGGUACAAUGUGGUCUGGAAUUUAUCAAUUCCAUACCAUAACCAAGGCCAUAUAUUAUUUUUUGACCGAUUUUUUAGUUCGGUCAAACUUGCAGUGGAUUUAGAAGCUGUGACAACAUAUACGUGUGCUACAGUAAUUGCUAGUAGAAAAGGGCUGCUGUUGGAUAUAAAAAAAAGCAAAAUUAAAAGAGGUGAAACAAUCCAACAGCAGAAAGGAAAUCUGCUAGCAACUGCAUAGAGACAAGAGGCAAAUAAAUUUUCCAUCUACCAAUGCACAACCAUGUGUAGAUGAAAACGGCACUCCAUUUAUGAACCUUGAUUAUAACAGGCACAUGGGCAGUGUAGAUCGGCUGAACCAGAUGAUGAGUUAUUUGGUUGGUAGACCAGGUAAUAAAUGGUGGCGAUACCUGGUUUGGUGUAUAGUAAACAUGAGCAUUGUAAAUGCAUUUAUAUUAUAUACCAAAUCAGGAGGGGCUUGCAAGCGCUGCAACCAUCUGCAGUUUCGAGCAAGUUAUUCCUCCAAAAAAAUAACUACAAGAAGGAAAAGCAAAGCCUGCCAGAGAGAUAUCCCAGAGUUCGGUCCAUCUCCAUAAAUUAGAAAAAAUCAGGGGUCGCAAAAGGCAGUGCCGUGAAUGUUUAUCCACAAAGAAAAACUCCCAGUGAAUGGCCAGUUGAAACUUCUUUCUAAUGUACAUUCUGCAAUGUUGCCGUAUGUAGAGUGGGAUGUUUUACAACUUUCCAUGAUAGAAAUAUUGUGUGAAUAUUGUAUAUAUGUAUGAUUAGAUUGUAUAAAUAUUUUUCAAAUUUA